rnacentral:snoRNA from 1 species
CGGAGGACUGAGAAGGUGAGGCAGUUCUGAACCAUGCUGCCUUCCACUGGUUAAGACCUCCGAGAGCGAAGGCCUGCAGAGGCAGAGGAAGUCCCUCUGCCGCCCCAGAGGGCAGCACUGUGUUGGCCGACACUUG